AUUGAACGCUGGCGGCAUGCCUUACACAUGCAAGUCGAACGGUAACAGGUCUUCGGAUGCUGACGAGUGGCGAACGGGUGAGUAAUACAUCGGAACGUGCCCGAUCGUGGGGGAUAACGGAGCGAAAGCUUUGCUAAUACCGCAUACGAUCUACGGAUGAAAGCAGGGGACCGCAAGGCCUUGCGCGGACGGAGCGGCCGAUGGCAGAUUAGGUAGUUGGUGGGAUAAAAGCUUACCAAGCCGACGAUCUGUAGCUGGUCUGAGAGGACGACCAGCCCCACUGGGACUGAGACACGGCCGAGACUCCUGCGGGAGGCAGCAGUGGGGAAUUUUGGACAAUGGGCGCAAGCCUGAUCCUGCCAUGCCGCGUGCAGGAUGAAGGCCUUCGGGUUGUAAACUGCUUUUGUACGGAACGAAAAGACUCUGGUUAAUACCUGGGGUCCAUGACGGUACCGUAAGAAUAAGCACCGGCUAACUACGUGCCAGCAGCCGCCGUAACAC
rnacentral:rRNA from 1 species